GCGAGGGUAACCAAGUUGGCCAACGGUGCAGGACUUAAGAUCCUGUCUCUAAGGAGUUCGUGGGUUCAAAUCCCAUCCCUCGCA
rnacentral:tRNA from 1 species